rnacentral:tRNA from 8 species
GGGCGAAUAGCUCAGCUGGGAGAGCGCCUGCCUUACAAGCAGGAUGUCGGGGGUUCGAGCCCCUCUUCGCCCACCA